rnacentral:rRNA from 1 species
CCUACGGGUGGCAGCAGUGGGGAAUAUUGCACAAUGGGGGAAACCCUGAUGCAGCGACGCCGCGUGAGUGAAGAAGUACUUCGUUAUGUAAAGCUCUAUCAGCAGGGAAGAAAAUGACGGUACCUGAGUAAGAAGCCCCGGCCAACUACGUGCCAGCAGCCGCCGUAAUACGUCGGGGGCAAGCGUUAACCGGAUUUACUGGGGGGAAAGGGAGCGGAGACGGCAGUGCAAGUCUGGAGUGAAAGGCGGGGGCUCAACCCCCGGACUGCGCUGGGAACUGGAGGGCUGGAGUGCGGGAGAGGUAAGUGGAAUUCCUCGUGUAGCAGUGAAAUGCGUAGAUAUGAGGAGGAACACCAGUGGCGAAGGCGGCCUACUGGACUGUCACUGACGUUGAGGCUCGAAAGCGUGGGGAGCAAACAGGAUUAGAUACCCGAGUAGUC